rnacentral:lncRNA from 1 species
CAACCAUGAAUGAUGAAAGUAUACCUUGAGGCUUGAGAAUUUGGUGAAGUCGAUGAAUAACGAUGACCUUCUUCUCAAUCUCAAGCCAGUCAUCUUCAGCGUUGUUUGUUGGACCUUCUUUUUGAGAAGGAUUAGAGAACCAAUCAUGAAAUGCUUUCCGAUUAUCAUAAACCUCUGGAAGUAGUAGGUUUAGAAGUGACCAUAAUUCCUUCAGAUUAUUCUGCAGCAAACACAUUUAACAAAUUCUCUUAUGCUAAUUCAUAGGCUAAGUAUAGACAAGAUGGAAUAAGGAAGAGUUCACGCGGUUACAAGGAAAAGAAACACCCAGACGCAACCGAUGAACCAUACUUAAGAUCAUAUGGCAAAAAAACUAAGCCAAGGACAAAA